rnacentral:rRNA from 1 species
GGAGGGGGCAAGCGUUGUUCAGAAUUACUGGGCGUAAAGGGCGCGUAGGCGGCCUGUCAAGUCAGGGGUGAAAGGCCCGGGCUCAACCCGGGAACUGCCCUUGAAACUGGCAAGCUAGAGUCCGAGAGAGGAUGGCGGAAUUCCCAGUGUAGAGGUGAAAUUCGUAGAUAUUGGGAAGAACACCGGUGGCGAAGGCGGCCAUCUGGCUCGGUACUGACGCUGAGGCGCGAAAGCGUGGGGAGCAAACAGGAUUAGAUACCUGGUAGUCCACGCCGUAAACGAUGUGUGCUAGACGUUGGGGGUCUUAGGCCCUUCAGUGUCGCAGCUAACGCGUUAAGCACACCGCCUGGGGAGUACGGCCGCAAGGUUA